rnacentral:lncRNA from 1 species
UGCCUCCAAAUCUCUGAGCCUUUUCGUUCCUUUCAGCGGUUCACUGCCUAUCUCCCCGAGGAAAUCAGAAUGGGUAAACCUAGUCAUCCUUUGGUUUCCCCAAGGCGCCGCCCCCUACAGUCAGCCUUCCCAGAUUACCUUAGCAGUGAGCACUCUCUCCCUCAUAUUUACUGAUCUCUGCAAAUGUUGAGUCUUCUCCAUAACAAGCAAGCUCCUCGAGAGUGGGAAUUGGUGUUCGUAAUGUCGUUCCAUCCUCAGGGCCUGGCGCAGAGUAGGCUCUUCACCAACAUUUUGUUCUACUGAAUUAAACUGGACUCAAUCGCGCUAAAUUACACGGGACUGAACCAGAUAGGAACAGAGGAUGCUUUUCAGCAAACUGACUCCAGGGAGCCUGCAGGGCCAGGAGAAGGAUGGCAGAAAGGGGCCGGGAGACAGAUGUCCAGAGAAUCCAAUGCCCUUAUAGUUAUCACCUGGGUAAAUACAAGGGCCACUGUGUGCAUUUGACAGAUGAGGGAAAGGAGGCACAGACAGGUUAAAGAGCUUGUCUGUGAUUACCAAGUGAAUAUAAAGAGAGUAAAAAUUGAUUAUCUGUGCUGCAAGGAUAUGAUCUGGACUAAAUCAUCUGUUCUUUGA